UUACAACUGAUUUCCUAACCGACUAGGAUCUAUCUCUAAUUUUAAAUGAUAACAAAUAUUUACAAACACAACUCGUAUCGGAGUUGGUUAUCAUAUCCCUACGGGCCAACUUCUUCAGCUGAUCUUUUCUCUAGCCCACCUUAGGCCCAUACUGGCCAAGCCGCUCUAGCUCCCAAUCGGCCAACCUUUACCGACCCCUUUUGCCAAUCGGCUGAAACACUGUAGCUUCAAUCGGCCGAUUC
rnacentral:lncRNA from 1 species